GAUUAACGCUGGCGGCGUGCAUAACACAUGCAAGUCGAACGAUGAAACUCAUUAUAUUUCUUCGGAAUGAAACUGACUGGUUUAGUAGCGAACGGGUGAGUAACGCUUGAGUAACCUGCCUUACACAAGGGGAUAGCCUCUGGACACGGAUAAUAAUACCCUAUGAGACCAGACAAUCGCAUGAUAAUCUGGUCAAAAUGUUUAGUGGUGUAAGAUGGACUUUCGUCUGAUUAGCUAGUUGGUGAGAUAAAAGCUCCCCAAGGCAACGAUCAGUCGCCGGAUUGAGAGAGCGGACGGCAACAUUGGGACUGAGACACGGCCCAGACUCCGAAGGGAGGGAGCAGGGGGGAAUUAGGCACGAUGGGGGAAACCCGGAGGCAGCGAGGCCGCGAAAUUUAGAAGGCCGUCGGGUUGUAAAAAUCUUUUGUAUAGGAAGAAAAUGACAGUACUAUACGAAUAAGGUCCGGCUAAUUACGUG
rnacentral:rRNA from 1 species